AUACUUUAAAAACCCUAAAAAAAACAUCGUUUCAAUUGUCGUCAACCCUAGUCGUCGUACUACUCUUGAUUUUAAAAAAAAACGCUGCUAUCAUCCUCAAAAGUUUUGGUUCAUCGCAUUAUAUUUGAAUCUGUCUCGUUCUAAUCGAAGUAGACUCGAUCCUCUGAAAUCUCUAACCUUCGGAAUUCAUAACGACCCGUCGACUGCUCGUGCUUCGGAGUCUACGCAGGGCUAGCUGUUUGCCAAGAUCAUCGUGGAUAAGCAAGCAGUGAGUUUGUAGUGCUAUUUACCGCUUUAUUAAGUACCGCAUCAUAUUUUAAUAUUAUAAAUGUUUGUGAACUGUUUUUUUUUACGGAUUAUGGAUCUGGAUUGAAACGAGCUACUCGAUAGGCUUGUAUCGAGACUGUGUGCACCGGUAAGUACUCUGGGAAACGGCAGACUACAGUAUUGCUUACGCUGGUAUAUAAAUAUGACGAGGAUUUGUUCCCGUCCACUCUGGGUUUAUCGGUAUGCUAUGUCAUACUUACGCUGGGAUCAUUUCAUUACUGUUUUCCAUAAUCAUACUAUAUUAGUAUAAACUGUUUUGAUUUAAGGGUUUUAAACUUAAUAAAUGUAAAUAGUAUUACAAACUCAUCUCAGUAUAUCUGACCCCGUUGUUUUCCCAAAUUUUCCAGGUUUAUGAUUUGAAAGCUAGUACACUCCGAUUCUUUUGAUUCCUCGGAGGUUUUUAUGUUAUUAAACUAGUUUCUGUUUUCGAACUCUUAGACCGCAGUAGAACUAGUUAUUUAUUUCAUUUGAUAUUACACUUUGAAAAUUGUCGAUAUAUCCGAUUAUUUAUGUUUGGCAUGAUUACUCUGGAUUACGAUAUUGUUAUAUAUAAGGCAUG